UGGCAUUUGACUUGCUCAGAUCUCUGCUCUGUGCGCUCACAGACAUCUGCAGACCUGUUCUCAGUGUGUAGAUCACGCUGAGAUGCGACCAAACAGCAAUGAAUCACAGCGGAGCAGAAAAAGGGGCGGAGCAUACUGUGUGCGCAGGAGAGGAGUCGAGCAGAGAGAGCUGCUUUUUCAUGAAACGGGAGUAAAGUAGUGAACUUAGAGGAGAGAAACAAACAAAGUAUCGAUCAUAUACCACUACCAACGUUUGGAUCGAUAUCUGCAUCGAUCUGCCCACCCUUGUCUCCUGGAUCGUAGCUGAGAUCAGCGUGAACCACGUGGGUCUCUGCUCCCUGAUCUGUUUCCUGUGUUUGGAAAGAGUUCCAGCUUCAUCACGGAGUUUCUCUCGGUUUGUGGGCUCAUCUAAAGUUUAUUGUCAACACGUUGAGAGAAGAGUGAGAGGGUGUUUGGAGAAAAACACCAACUAAUCAUUAGCUCAGCAUGCUGGGAGAAGUUGGAGCAGAAAAGUCUUUUCAUUGUCCCUGCAGCUGUUUUUCUGCCUGCACCAAACCUCUACAGCC
ensembl:lncRNA